rnacentral:rRNA from 1 species
GCAUGCAAGUCGAGCGAGAAAUUUACUUCGGUAAAUGGACAGCGGCGAAAGGGACAGUAAUGUGUAGGUACCUACCCUCUGAUCUGGGAUAGCUGCGGGAAACUGCAGGUAAUACCGGAUAAUGUCUUCGGACCAAAGGUGUGAUUCCGUCUGAGGAGGGGCCUGCAUCCUAUUAGCUUGUUGGUGAGGUAAUGGCUCACCAAGGCAACGAUGGGUAGCGGGUGUGAGAGCAUGACCCGCGUCAUUGGGACUGAGACACUGCCCAGACAUCUACGGAUGGCUGCAGUCGAGAAUCUUCGGCAAUGGGCGAAAGCCUGACCGAGCGACGCCGCGUGCGGGAUGAAGGCCCUCGGGUUGUAAACCGCUGUCGUUGGGGAGGAAAUGCAGGAGGGCUAUCCCUCU